CGUGUUAGCAACAGGCAACGACCGGGCCCAUCGUCCGGGUCGCCUGAUAGUUGGAUUAGUGGCGAACGGGUGAGUAACACGUGGGUGAUCUGCCCUGCACUUCGGGAUAAGCCCGGGAAACUGGGUCUAAUACCGGAUACGACCACGGGAUGCAUGUCCUGUGGUGGAAAGGUUUACUGGUGCAGGAUGAGCCCGCGGCCUAUCAGCUUGUUGGUGGGGUAAUGGCCUACCAAGGCGACGACGGGUAGCCGGCCUGAGAGGGCGACCGGCCACACUGGGACUGAGACACGGCCCAGACUCCUACGGGAGGCAGCAGUGGGGAAUAUUGCACAAUGGGCGAAAGCCUGAUGCAGCGACGCCGCGUGAGGGAUGAAGGCCUUCGGGUUGUAAACCUCUUUCAGCAGGGACGAAGCGCAAGUGACUGUACCUGCAGAAGAAGCACCGGCUAACUACGUGCCAGCAGCCGCGGUAAUACGUAGGGUGCGAGCGUUGUCCGGAAUUACUGGGCGUAAAGAGUUCGUAGGCGGUUUGUCGCGUCGUGUGUGAAAUCCCGCAGCUCAACUGCGG
rnacentral:rRNA from 1 species